AGUGAACGCUGGCGGCGUGCUUAACACAUGCAAGUCGAACGAGAACGGGUUAUAGCUUGCUAUAAUUGUCAGCUAAGUGGCGCACGGGUGAGUAAUGUAUAGGUAAUAUGCCUCUUACUAAGGGAUAACAAAUGGAAACGUUUGCUAAUACCUUAUACUCCUUAUUAACAGAAGUUAAUAAGGGAAAGAUUUAUUGGUAAGAGAUUAGCCUGUAUUGUAUCAGUUAGUUGGUGGGGUAAUGGCUUACAAAGACUAUAACACAUAACUGGUUUGAGAGGAUUAGCAGUCACACUGGAACUGAGACACGGUCCAGACUCCUACGGGAGGCAGCAGUGGGGAAUAUUGCACAAUGGACAAAAGUCUGAUGCAGCAACGCCGCGUGGAGGAUGACACAUUUCGGUGCGUAAACUCCUUUUAUAUGAGAAGAUAAUGACGGUAUUAUAUGAAUAAGCACCGGCUAACUCCGUGCCAGCCGCCGCCGUAAUAC
rnacentral:rRNA from 1 species